rnacentral:misc_RNA from 1 species
UCCGAAGUUCCUCCUUUUGCCUCUUUUUCUCAGCUCUUAAGUACUCUUUCUGUAAAAACUUUUCCCUUCGCUCCAGUUCACGUUUUUGCUCACGCAGCGAUCUCUCCUCCUCCCGCUGCCUUUCACGCAUCAACCUUUCUUCUUCCUUCCGUCUUUCACGCUCAUGCCUUUCCAUUUCUUUCCUCAUUCGCUCUUCACUCUUCCGCCUCAGUUGAUCCUGUUUCUCAAGCUCUUUGCGGAUCUGAUUUUCACGAGCUUCAACUUCCCUUGUAAUUCUAGCUUCAUCAUUCUUGCAUUUCUUCCCAAUCCGCAGAUCUGUAUCAGUAUGGAAGAUUUGUGCAUCAGGAAAAAUAUCUGGAUUUUGCGAUCCCAUAAUUUGGUGAACAGUAGAAUGAGCACCUAUUCUAUUGUUUGUAAC